rnacentral:misc_RNA from 1 species
GUUAACCUUCUCACAACCUCUUAUUGUCAAUGUCUCAAAAGAACAAUCAUUUAUGUGUGAGAGCUUAACGUUUUAGGACAAUCUUCCUCUUCCAAAAAGGCAUGUGAUUGGAUUCCAUCCAUGCUAUUAAAGAUUAAAGAAUUUGCUCUUAAGAAACUCAUUACUGUGUCUCUAUUUAUAUUUUUGCAUCUUCACCAUUCUUCUUGCAAUUUUGAUACAUGGAGCUUGUCUGUCAUUUACAAAUUUCCAACUUAGUUUAUGAUAGGUGCUGAUAGUUGUUCCUUGGGUUCCAAUUCCAAGCCAUAUGCUGGUAUCUAUCAAAGCCAUGGGGCUUGUUGUGGUUUGAACCCACCUCAAGACUUAACAUGAAUGCAAUAGUGUCAUUUUUAAAGAAUUUUAUAUAGUUCUGUAUGUGUGUUUGCAUGUACAUAUGUUUAGCCUGUAAGUAUGCACAAAGGUGUAUAUAUAAAUUAGAAGAGAUUUUUCUUGGUGAGCAUUUGUGAUGUAGAACCGAUAGGUAUUAGGGGUUUAGGGUGAGAAAUAAAUUCUCAAAUUGAAGAGAAACU